rnacentral:tRNA from 1 species
GGGCCGGUAACUCAGUGGUAGAGGUUAGUUCCCCGUCGACGUGUCAUCAGCCAACACUAACCUCUCCCCAGUGUAGGAUUGCAGCCUUCUCAUAGCCGUUCAUCCCGAAGUCACCGGUUCGACUCCGGUUCGGCCCU